GGGUUGUCCCUGGAUUCUGUGUAAACUGCCCACAGUCUGUUUGUACACUGGGAGAGGAUACUAAUCUUAGGUGAAUCCUGAAUACCCUAUGUUUUCUUUUUCUCUUAGCAAAGGAAAAGCAAAAACAAAAAGAGCUUGAGAGCCACCCUGUGCCUUGGAUGUGAUCAGCAUGUUGUCCAGCUCCCGAACCAUCUCUCGAUGAUGCUUACCUGCCCUCUGACUGAGGACUGAGUCAUAGCUCUGGCACUCUACUUCUCAGAAAGUCAGUGUUACAGGAUAGUGUAUCCGUCUGCCUUCAAAAUUUGAAAGAGGAAGAGGAGGAGGACAAGAAAGAUGGCUGUGGGGAUGGAUGGCCCUGUGCAUGGCUGUGUCUACAGAGGUCACAUGAACGUGCACCUGCAAAGAAAGAAAUACACACAAAGUGCAUUUAAAGCAGUUAUUAAAUUUUAUCAUUUUGAGGAAAACCUUCUGUCUUCAGGAAGUUUGUAAGAUACCUGGAAAAAUGGUAAUACAGUCAGUAUCUGUGAGAAGUUUUUUUAAACAGGGCGGAGCACCACACCAUGAAGAUGCUACAGAAAGGACACGGAAGUGCCAGGAAUGCUUAUGCAACUUUCUGGAUUCAAAGACAGGCAUCUUUUCUGAGGUCAGUAUCAGCUGAAAUACAAAGAGCCACUAAAUCUAAAAUUUUAAGGGACUAUAUGUUAACCCUUGACAUGCAGAACCCAGUAUGAAGGUCUGUUUCCUGGGAAAAGUAGUGGUGUUAAUAGUCCACGGUGUCCCUCUCUGUACUCCUGGGCCCAGCUUCUAUCUGGUGUAGAUUGUACAUCAGUAUUUGUAGAUCCUCCCUAAGGAUUUGAGGAGGAAUGAACAUGGGAUAUUCAUUGUCCUCAAUAAAGAGUAAGAAGCCCACGCUGUUUUUUUCUUGUUCAUUCACCAUUAAACUAUGCUUGAUUUUUCUCUCAAAGCCAUUGUUUCAAAGUAAGUAGUAUUUAUUGGCUCAGUUUUUCUUCUCUUA